UUUGAGAGAGGUCUGAUCGAUCAAGAACACCCAGGGCGACACCCACACUUUUCAAACCCUAGUUCACAAGAAAAACUGUAAAUUGAAGGCCUAAAUCAAGUAAUAAUCGAAAUCUGAACAUGGAAUCGCAAGGAAUCCAGAACGUCAAGUGGACACGCCGGAAGUGAUACCCGCGGAAAAGGUGUGCUUUAAAGGUGACUAUGGUGGGUUUCCGGAUGGCGGUCAAGCAAUGUAGAAGAACCGAACACGUAUUUUGAAGCUUCCGCGUUAACUUAACUUUGUUUAGAACAAUGAUUUUGAUGUGAAUGAAUUGACAAUCAUGUCCUAAGGUUUUAAACUAGUUGGUGGUGACUAGUAUAAGUUACUUUAAACUUUCGUUUUGUACUUUCAUGAUCAUGUAGUUAAUUUGAAUUGAAAACUUUUUUUGUAAAUUGGAAAUUCUAGGAUAAACUCAUGAAAUAUAUUAAGUAAUCUCAUUAUUAAAAGUAAGGGUGU
rnacentral:lncRNA from 1 species